UUACUACUGUCCACCAGACUUGCAGAAAAAGCAGACCCUGGAGGAAGCUGAGGCAUGACUACUCAAGAGCCAAGAGCCAGCCUUCCAUAUGCAAUUUUCCUCUGAUAGUUCCUGGGUACUGUUGCCACGGUGAUAGUGACUGUCCAUGUCAUUAUCUAUCCACCUUCCUGGGUACUGUUGCCACGGUGAUAGUGACUGUCCAU